rnacentral:lncRNA from 1 species
AUUAGCUGUCCGCUCUCAGGUUGGGCAGUCAGGGUCGGAGAAGGGCAAUGACUCAUUCUUAAAACCAGCGUUCUUAAGACCAAAGAGUCGGGCGGAAGGGGGGGAAAGCCCUCCGUUCCUGGUUCUCCUGUAGUUGGAUCCUCCGGAACCACAAGAAUCCUUAGUUAGAAUGGGAUUCCAACUCAGCACCUUUUGAGUGAGAUUUUGAGAAGAGUUGC